CAGGUAAUGAAAAGGCAGGCCAAACACAAAUGGUUAGGCAACUAUAUACACGGGAGACGAUAGACACUACGACCCUUGAGAAAGGCCAAAACCCUUCGGCCGAAACGUCGGGAGAGUAGGAAACAUUUCGUUCUCGACUUAAAGACUGAGAAAGCCACCCAAAAGAUCGAUCAAACAUC